GGUGUUGUAGCUCAGUUGUAGAGUGCUUGCCUACCAUGCAUGAAGCCAUGCUCAAUCCUCAGCACUA
rnacentral:tRNA from 1 species